rnacentral:rRNA from 1 species
UACGAGGGGGCAAGCGUUGUUCGGAAUUACUGGGUGUAAAGGGUUCGUAGGCGGUGUGGCAAGUCGGGAGUGAAAUCUCUGGGCUCAACCCAGAGUCUGCUUCCGAAACUGCUGUGCUUGAGUGUGGGAGAGGCGCGUGGAAUUGCAGGUGUAGCGGUGAAAUGCGUAGAUAUUCGGAAGAACACCAGUGGCGAAGGCGACUCACUGGCCCGAUACUGACGCUGAUGCGCGAAAGCGUGGGAGCAACAGGAU